GUGAGGCGUUUACGAGGUGAGUAACGCGUGAGAACCUGGCUUACACAGGGGAAUAGCCUCGGGAAACUGGCAUUAAUGCCCCGUGAUCUCUGUCCCAUGGCGUGGACCACGUGGAGGCGGUGUAAGAUGGACUCGCGUCUGAUUAUCUGGUUGGUGGGGUAGCGGCCGACCCACGCUACGAUCCGUAUCCGGCCUGAUAGGGUGAACGGCGACUCUGUACCUGACACACCGUCCAAACUCCUACCGUACGCACCUAUGUGGAAUAUUGCACACUGGGGGAAACCCUGAUGCAACCGUGCCGCGUGUGUGAAGUUCGUUGCGCACUUUCAGCGAGGUUAAUACACUCUCAGAGACAGCACCGGCAACUCCAUGCCAUCCGCCUCGGUAGUACCGAUGGUGCGAGCGUUAUUCCGACCUACUGCCCGUAGAUCCUGCGCACGCUGUUUGCCUCUCGAGAUGUGAUAUCUCCGGCCUCAACCUGGGAACCGCAUUUCGAAUAGGCAUACUAGAGUGUUGUAGAGGGAGGUAGAAUUCCAGGUGUAGCGGUGAAAUGCGUAGAGAUCUGGAGGAAUACCGGUGGCGAAGGCGGCCCCCUGGACAAGACUGACGAUCAGGCAUGAAAGCGUGGGGAGCAAACAGGAUGAGAUACCUUGGUAGUCCACGCCGUAAACGAUGUCUACUCGGAGUGUGGUGUCAUGAACAAUGGGCUCUCAAGCUAACGCAAUAAGUAGACCGCAUGGGGAGUACGGCCGCAAGCAUAAAAUUCAAAUGAAGUGACGGGCGCCCGCACAAGCGGUGGAGCAGGCGGUAUAAUUCGAAGCAACGAGAAGAACGUUACAUACUCUCAUCCUCAGAAGCCAGCGGAGACGCAGGUGUUCGCGCAGGAAGGUGCUGCAUCGCGGUUGUCAGCUCGUGCAGAGAAAUGUGGGGGAAGCUCCCGCAACGAGCGCAACCCCUAUCUCAACUCCCCAGCGGGUAAUGCCGGUAACAUUAGGGAGACCGCCGGUGAUAAACCGGAGGAAGGAGGGGACGACGUCAAGUCAUCAAGGCCGAUAUCGUUAGGGCUACACACUUGUUACAAUGGUCGGUACAUAGGGAAGUGAAGCCGAGAGGUGCAGCUAUCUCAUAAAACCGGUCGUAGUCCGGAUUGGAGUUAGCAACUUGACUCCAGGAAGUCGGAAUCGAUAGUAAUAGUGGAUCACAAUGUCCCGGUGAAUACGUUCCCGGGCGAUGCAGUCACCCCCGUC
rnacentral:rRNA from 1 species